CCCACCGCCGCGGCGCUUGGCCUGGCAGCGGCCGGGCGGUGGCGCAGGAAAGCGGCAAGGCAGCACUGCACAAUUGUUCUGGUGGCACUGCUGGCUGGGAGACCGGCUGGGGCCGCCAGAGCUGGGUGCUGCUGGAGCGAGAGGUGCCAGCGGAGGGUCGCAGCUCCAGGAGGACUCUCGAAAGGAGCCAUGGAGUACUAUCUUGCUGCUGGCGCCCGAAAUAUAGAUGGAGUGCUGAGCGCAAAGGAGAAUAGGGGUGAGCUGUGCAAGAAGGCUAUUGAGAUGGUGGCCUGAAUGCCCAUGAGCGUCUCUGUCUUUCUAGCUUGAGUGCAGAAGACAGCAGGUGUAGUAAGAUGUACCGAGCUACUGGACAUCCCGCUCGGGGUCAAAAUCCCUUUGUUGCCUGGCUCCCACCCUGUCUUCUGCCAGACCAAGCUGGGGGAAAAGGUGGUUUGCACUCUGUGGGAGUUCAACGAAUACAGGCAGUAUCUGAUGACACUCAAAAUAGAGGCUGACAAAAUGUGCCAGCGAGAACAAGUUUCUUGCCAUGACUGUGCAGAGGAUGGAGAAGCUUGAGGCCCUUGAAGAAGAGAAACGCCUCCUCCAGCAGGCUGAGCGAGACCAGAAGUCUUUACGUGAAGAGCUGCAUAGUGAAAUCCGGACUACGCUGAUAGGGACUACAAGGACAGAAGCCCAGGAGCUGGAAGAGGUGGCUGAGAGCAUGCUGGAGGAAGUGCUGGAGAGGGUGAAAGAGCUGGAUUGGUUGGUCCAUGUUUUAAGGAGGGCUCCACUGGCAAUCAGUGGAAGGUUGCUUGCUAGUGCUAGAAGGGCAGAGCCUUCUGAGACGACAUCUCCAGAUCUCCAGGAGGAAAUUGGACUGGUGGCUAGAGAGAUUGUAGCAACCGUUACUGAUGCCUUAGGGAAGCAUUUGGUAUGCAGUGCAUCAGAUGCCUGUGAGCCCAGGCUGUCGGCCGGGCAGAGGGAGCCGUACGUAGCCGCACGAGCCAGGUGAGCUGGCAAACUGGAAGAAAGCAGGCUGAGGGCAGCUGAAUUACCAGGCUAUAACAGCAACUUCUCUGGCUUCUCUUGACAAAAUCGCCAAAGAUGCUGUUGAGAGGGUUGGAUCCACCUUGGAAUCGUUUGUAGCUUUGCAAUUUGAACAUCACUUGCACUGUCAAUUUGCUGAAAUCCUGAAGCUGCCCCUUGAGACUAUUUCUAAGAGACAACUGCAGGCAUGCCGGACACCUUUCUCAACCCGAGCGAUGAAGGAAGUAGAAGCAUCAUGUAGAGCAUCCAAACAGCAGAAGCCACAAGGUUGCCCGUGUUGCAACCAUUCCACAAUGUUGCUGCCGUAUCACGAGAGAGUAGCACGCUUGCAAGGCGUAGCAUCCAAAAUGCAAUGUCCCAAGUUCAGCAAGUCCAUUCAGAAGGAAAUGUGUAUGCUGCAAUUGUUGUCCAUGAUGCUCUGGAAACCCUGAAGAAGCAGCAGCAGAAGUUAGAAAGAGAAAUGAAUGCAAAGGCAAGAUCCUUCAAGGACACUUCAGAAGAAAGCACCAUGGAGAGUGGGCUAGUGGAGUUGCUGUUAGAUCAAUGCGGUCAACCUCUGACUGCUGUUGCUUCAGGAGUGAAUUGUGGGAGGCAGGUCGCAAAGCAGCCCAGCCCAAGAGAUGGGGAUGAGAGCUAUCCGAGACUGGGCUUCCUAAGGCCAAGAGGAAAGAGAAUUCCUGCUAGAAAAUUAGAGAGGAGUGAGCCAAGAAUGAAGCUCCCACCUAUCUGCAUCCCUGGAAUGGUCAUGCCUUCAGAGGCAGAAGCACACUUUGAAGAGGACCUGCCAUGUAAUUUCCUCCUGUCUGUUCUCCGAGGCUCUGAGCAAGAUGCUCAGGGCCCACCAGAAGGCAUUCAGAAGCCUCUGUGUUACCCCUCAGCACUCACAUCGAGACCUUACACUCCUGUGUUGGAACCCCUACCUGAACCAAGGCCAGGAAGCCUGUGAGACACCUUCCUGUCCGUGGGCCAACAGUUUUCCAGAAAGCCAAGCCCUCCAUUGGCUCCAAAGCUCCCUUCCUGUAGAGGAUCCUGGAAGAGACGCAUGCGUGUGAAGCUUGUGCCGUGCAAGCUGGAGCAAUGGGCGUCAGGAGCGAGGGCAUUAGCUGGGAGGCUGAUGCUGAGAAGUCACAGUCAGCAGGAGAAGUGAGGGAGAUGCUCGGACUCUUGAACAGUCAGUGGGGAAAAGAACAUGCAGGGAGCACAUCGCAGAGGACUGUGCUGCACACCACUCCUGCUGCCUUUCCCAGGCAGAACUCUCGGCACCCUGUGCUGCUCAUGCCCCUGUCGCUCCCUGGCUCCCUCUCAGCCACUGGGGCUGCUACCGGUACCAGCUUGCAUGUCA